AACGAACGCUGGCGGCAGGCCUAACACAUGCAAGUCGAGCGAGGACUUCGGUCCUAGCGGCGGACGGGUGAGUAACGCGUGGGAACGUGCCCUUUGGUUCGGAAUAGCCCCGGGAAACUGGGAGUAAUACCGGAUAAGCCCUACGGGGGAAAGAUUUAUCGCCAAAGGAUCGGCCCGCGUUGGAUUAGGUAGGUGGUGGGGUAAUGGCCUACCAAGCCGACGAUCCAUAGCUGGGUUGAGAGGAUGAUCAGCCACACUGGGACUGAGACACGGCCCAGACUCCUACGGGAGGCAGCAGUGGGGAAUCUUAGACAAUGGGGGAAACCCUGAUCUAGCCAUGCCGCGUGAGCGAUGAAGGCCUUAGGGUUGUAAAGCUCUUUCAGUGGGGAAGAUAAUGACUGUACCCACAGAAGAAGCCCCGGCUAACUCCGUGCCAGCCGCCGCAGUAAAAC
rnacentral:rRNA from 1 species